GCGUCGGCAUCGCCUUUUGGGCAGGCGAGCAGCGCCUACGGCGCGCUGGACCCGUCGAUGUGGUUCAACGCCAUGCGCGCGCA
rnacentral:tRNA from 1 species